GAUAUUUGGAAAUACUACCAAAUAGACCAACAGAAGAGCUACAGCACACAUCAGUCUGGUUGUGGGCAAAAAAGGAGAAAGCCACUGAAAAAUUGUAGAGGUGCCACAGGAUCAUUUUCCAGAACUCGACCAAGAAUCUCAGCCUAAAUGCCACACUGUAGCCAGAAAGACUGUGUUCAUUUAAUUGGGUUUAUUACAUGUUACUACAGUUAAAAAAUCAUUGCUUCCUUUCAGCUGCAAUUUCACUGAUUUGUUUUAUUGUAUUCUUGAAAUAAAACUGUAAAUAAAUUAGUUUUGUCAAACUA